AUGUCACAGAGAAUUCAGCUUCAAAGCAAUACAGCUCAAGCAAUAGUAGUCUUCUAGCGAACGAGGAAUUGAAGUUCUUGAUUAACUGUGAGAGAGAACCCAGAAAUUGUGAGAGAAAGAGAUGGAGAGAGAGAGAGAAGUGAUGAGAACGAUCAAGUCUGAAUGAAAAAUAAAAUAGGGAAAUAAAUUAAAAAAAAUUCUUAUAUUUUUAGCCGAUUGCAAAUAUAUUAGAGGGUUUCGGGAAGAAAAAAAUGAGUACAACUUACGACAUAUUUAAAAUUUGCAUUCAUGGUGUAUAUACAAUAUUAUGCCGUUAAAAGGCAUAAAAAUUACUGUUUUCAUAUACAGUAAAUAUCAGUUAUUAACGACACACUUUACUAUCUUUUUAAGUUGUGCUUUGUCAUAUACCAUAAACAUCAAUUAUUAACAACAUGAAUAAAAAGCUUGUUAUAAAUAUCAAGUCGUAUAAGCUCCAAUUUGGUGCAGUGCAUGUAAGAUACAUAUAUCACAGGAUGAAUUUCCAACUUAUGGAUGGGAGGAAUUUGGAUUAAUUUCUUCUUUAAUUGUAUCUUAAGUUGAAAGGUAAUUAUGUUAUUAUCAAACCAUCGCGUAUUUGGGCCAGUUGUCUGGAAAAUAUCAAGGUAUGAUUUUGCGUGUGUGCAUCUGAUGGGCUUCGUCAAAUUUGCCAGGUCUUCUUCUUCGUGAGGAAUAAGCACCUUACAAACCAUAGCGUGAGAAAAGCGUGAUAACUGCGAAACCCCUGAGGAGAUUUGCCACUUCUUUGCCUCGACGAGUGCCUUGAAGCGUGGCUUAUAUCGAUCGUCAAAUAAAAAACGACGGCUAGUGUUACAACGCGUGGAGUUUUUGUUUGACAAUGGGGCCAAAAGUCUCCAAACGAAACAGCAAAUUAACAAAGUGAUGAGGGAUUCAUUGAGACUCCCAUGUUCUCAGCUUACGACCGCUAAUCUCUCCUAAGCCGCCCUAAAAUAUCAUACGAAUUUUAGACCGCCUUCACAUUCUUCUUCUCUAUUUAUACUUUUCCGAGCCUACAUGCUUCUCCAUCCCAAAAUCUUCUAAGCAUCUUUAGAAAUCUCUCUCGGUCUCUCUCUCGGUCUCUCUCUCUCUCUGUGUUUUUAUACACUCCAAACAAACAUCAUGAAAGGCUUCAAGGUUUUUCUAAUGCUUGCCAUGCUAAUAGCUUCAGCCAUCACUACUCUCUCUGCAAUACCAGACGAAGAAGAAUCCUUCUUCAGCGAGGAAAACAAUGCAAUGGACGAAACCAAAAACCAGCUUGGAAAAAGCACUUCUCUAAGAAGCCGCUUCCUUGCCUCCCGGCCGCCUGCCAUAACUUGCGACAAAUACCCUAAGCUUUGUCAGGUGUCGGGCAGCGCAGGGCCGGAUUGCUGCAACAAGAAAUGUGUGGACAGAAACACAGACACAGCAAACUGCGGCAAGUGUGGGAGGAUAUGCAAUUACGCAGAGAUUUGCUGCGAAGGUAAGUGUGUGAAUCCGAACUCGGACAAUGAAAACUGCGGCAGCUGCAACAACACGUGCAAGAAAGGCACUUCAUGUGCGUUUGGGAUGUGCAGCUAUGCAUGAACACUAAUUAUCAUGACGCACCAGAUAGAUCACUGCUAAACCCUAUAUCCUAUAUACAUGAAAAUAAUUUAUAAGGCUAUGAAUUAGUGUACGUGUGUGUGUGCAAGUGCAAGGAAUAAGGGCUAGCUAAUCGUCACCAUUCGAUGGGCUUAGCCAAUUAAUUGUUUAUUGUAAGGAAUCAUCAAUAUUAUCAUCCCUUAAUUAAAAAAGUUCUUAUUAUUUACUUUUCAGAUAUAAUAUAUCACAAGGAUUUAACCUCUUCCUUUUUAUUUUUUGUUCUUCCAACUAGCGCAUACAGAUGGUAGGAAUUUGGAUGAAUUUCUUUUUUAGUUGUAUCAUAACAACGAACUAAUUUGAUUCAACGGUUAAGAGAUAGAGCCUCAUUUAAGGGCUUUAGAUAAGACACUUACUAUGGAAUCAAACAGUUGUAGAGAGAGGCUCACUGGAGAAUAAGAAGGGGUUAGAGAAGGGAGAGAAAAGGAGGAAGUGUUCCUGGAGCCGUUUCUUUAGAGUUCUUUUUUAUUUUAUUUUAUUUUUACUGAGCUUUGUUUGGCAUAUACAGAGUGGAGAACUUGCAAAAGGACCCACAAGUAGUGGUAUGAAGUAUUUACUCCAUUAUGUAAGGUUCUGAGUUCGAGUCCUAGCAUCUGUGUAGUGUGUGUGAGUUUAGUAUGCUAUCGCCUUUCUCAACAAAGGUCCUCAAAAAAUAGAGGGCACAAGACGGUUGUUGGGCUUGUAAUACGCUAGCAAACCAGAACCAGAGCACUAAUGAAUUGAUUAGAAUUUAGAACAAUCAACCUAGUGAUAUUGGAAGACCUAUAUGCUAAUUUCUAAACACUUCUAGAACCAAUUAUCAGCGUGAAAUAUAUACUCUUUUAUCUAAUUUGAAGCAUAUAUCAUCACAUUGCAGUCGGUUGUCUGAUAUUUUGUACAUGCAUAUAUGAAGCUUCUCUAUAUUUUAAAACGAGAUAAAAACACAUUUAUUUUAUUAUAUAAUACAUUUCAGUUUGGUACGUACUGUACGUAUAAGGCAUUUAGUUGCAAGGCAUUUUGGCAUCUUAAUUGUAAUUUGUAUGGUGAUGACUCAUGUCUAUAUUGGCGUCCCAGAUAAAAUCGAACAAUGCGACAAGUGUAGCUAGGUAUAGUUAUUAGUUGUAAAGGAAAACAGCAUCCGCCAAAUAUAUAUACAUUCAUAUUAAAAGUUGGUCAAAAUGAUACUGAAUUGAUAUUAAAAGUUGGGACAACAGUAAGUAAUUGUAAUUAUACUGACAAGCGAGCCCGAUUACAAUUAGGAAACAAAGCCCAAGAAUCUUCCUGUGUAAUUUGUGCAGGCUUUAAUUUCUUUGUUCUUAUUCACCUAAUUUCUAGAAUACGUAAUAUAUUCUUAGGAAGCAUAAGUUUGUUUACUGAUAAAUUAACGUUUUGUACGGCCCUUUGAAUUAGACCAAGCAAGCAUAAUAAGAUCACCUCUGUCAGCCCUCACGCCUCUCUACAUAUACUUCUUCAAGCCCUGCAUGCUUCUCCAUCUAUCCAAUCUUUACACAUUCUAGCUCAUUCCUUUUCUUCGAUACAUACACGACCGACCAAAUUAAUUCAAAUCAGUUAGACCAAAAUGAAAUCGCUCAAGUUUUUCUUUGUGCUAGCGAUUCUGGUUGCUCUAUCAGCUGUCCAUACUCUCUCAGCAACAUCAUACGAAUUCGAAGAAUCAUUCUUCAACGACGUCGUCGAGGAAGACAACAAUAAUGUUACAAAUGAAACCUUUGACGACCUCCCAGUUAUGGCCGCACAAGGACAAGAAAAAACUUCUCUUAGAGGAAGAAGCCGCUUUCUUGCUUCUCAUCGGGCCAUGGCUGCGACAUGCGACAAAAACCCUAAGGUGUGUAAAGCCACGCAUGCACAUUGCUGCCACAACAAAUGUGUUGAUUUGAAGACAGACAAACUCAACUGUGGAAAGUGUGGGGUGAAAAGCCAUCACGCACAGAUAUGUUGCAAAGGUCAUCUUGUGAACCCAAUGUCUGACAAGACACACUGUGGAGGCUGCGACAACCAUUGCAAGAAAGGCGGUUCAUGUGCGUUUGGGAUGUGCAGCUAUGCUUAGAAAUUCAUAAUGACGCAACGCAAGGGAACUUCACCUCAUCAAUAACAAUAAGGAAUAUCGCAGAUUCAGCUACAUAUAUUACUAUUGCAAUAAGGAAUAAUGUUUUAUGUAUUUGUUUUGGAGACUAAUUAAGAUAUAUGUUUUUGACAAUGUCUUGCUCAAAAUAAUUAUGGAUGAAAAAUUAUCUAUACUUGAAAUGGGUUAAGACUAAGGCUUGAAAUUUUUACAAAGAAGGGCUAGGUAUUGAUGAUCGUCAUAAUUUGAUGGACAAUAUUUCCCGAUGUGAACCAAAUACUUUGUACACGUCACACCCAUGUGUGUAGAAUACGUAUAAAUAACAUAUUUUGUUAUCAUAAUAACAUUCAAUCAUAUAACUUAAAACUAAAUGAUAAUGAAUAGAGGGGCCAAGAUGUAUCUAAUAUAUUGAUAUGCAGAACUUAACAUAAAAAUCUCUAACAACCAAACACAUGGAAACAAACUGAAAAAGCUAGAUUCUAUUUUCCAAGAGCGAAAUAUUUACCACUGAUGCCAAUGCAAAAUGACCUCGUAUUUGUACUAUUACAUACAAGUUGAACUGUAAAAACUCAUUCAAGAAGUCGAGAUCGUUUUUAUGGUUUACAACACGAACAAAAUUACCUCUUCUCUAGUAUGGUAUAUCAAAUUAACAGAUCUAGUCUGAUCCUUUGUCAAUCGUUGCGGUUGUUUCAAUGUGUGGAUUUUACCCCAAAAAAAUUCAGUCUGCUACCGUAAAUCUACAUAAAGAGGAUUUCUUUUUCUUUUUUCUUUUUUUUUGGGUAACACAUAAAAAUGAAUUUAUUUGUAAGAAAAAGGCAUUAUGGGUUCGUUAUUGGUGCCCCGGAUAAAACCCAACAAUGGGACAAGUGGGACAACUUUUGAUUCGCGAAGAAAUGGGAGGGGCUGAAUAAAAAAUAAAAAAUGAAUUAAUUAUACUUGCUAAAACAGCAUAUGCCAAAUCUUUAAACUAAAGAAAUGAGACAUCCCAGCUAACAACAUUCUUUAGCUAGUUAAUUAAUCAGCGCAUGCAUCAUGCCAUCAUGGUUAGUUUGGUCAGUUUGGUUUCUUGGACCUUUGAAAUAAGAAUAUGGGAUCCUGGAAAAAAAUAAAAAUAAAUAAGAAUAUGGGAUUGUGAUCUGUAAUUAUAUAUUUAUUUUCACUAAUGAUAGCAACGCGAAUUCCAGAGUCAUGACUUUGUGUUAAUUAGCAGCAAAUUAUGCUUGAGCCCAAGCAAAUAAGCAGCUUGCCUAACCUGCAUGUUUCUUCGUCAAAUUUGCCAGGUCUUCUUCUUCGUGAGGAAUAAGCACCUUACAAACCAUAGCGUGAGAAAAGCGUGAUAACUGCGAAACCCCUGAGGAGAUUUGCCACUUCUUUGCCUCGACGAGUGCCUUGAAGCGUGGCUUAUAUCGAUCGUCAAAUAAAAAACGACGGCUAGUGUUACAACGCGUGGAGUUUUUGUUUGACAAUGGGGCCAAAAGUCUCCAAACGAAACAGCAAAUUAACAAAGUGAUGAGGGAUUCAUUGAGACUCCCAUGUUCUCAGCUUACGACCGCUAAUCUCUCCUAAGCCGCCCUAAAAUAUCAUACGAAUUUUAGACCGCCUUCACAUUCUUCUUCUCUAUUUAUACUUUUCCGAGCCUACAUGCUUCUCCAUCCCAAAAUCUUCUAAGCAUCUUUAGAAAUCUCUCUCGGUCUCUCUCUCGGUCUCUCUCUCUCUCUGUGUUUUUAUACACUCCAAACAAACAUCAUGAAAGGCUUCAAGGUUUUUCUAAUGCUUGCCAUGCUAAUAGCUUCAGCCAUCACUACUCUCUCUGCAAUACCAGACGAAGAAGAAUCCUUCUUCAGCGAGGAAAACAAUGCAAUGGACGAAACCAAAAACCAGCUUGGAAAAAGCACUUCUCUAAGAAGCCGCUUCCUUGCCUCCCGGCCGCCUGCCAUAACUUGCGACAAAUACUCUAAGCUUUGUCAGGUGUCGGGCAGCGCAGGGCCGGAUUGCUGCAACAAGAAAUGUGUGGACAGAAACACAGACACAGCAAACUGCGGCAAGUGUGGGAGGAAAUGCAAUUACGCAGAGAUUUGCUGCGAAGGUAAGUGUGUGAAUCCGAACUCGGACAAUGAAAACUGCGGCAGCUGCAACAACACGUGCAAGAAAGGCACUUCAUGUGCGUUUGGGAUGUGCAGCUAUGCAUGA
rnacentral:lncRNA from 1 species